GACGAACGCUGGCGGCGUGCUUAACACAUGCAAGUCGAACGGAAAGGCCUCUUUCGGGGGGUACUCGAGUGGCGAACGGGUGAGUAACACGUGAGUAACCUGCCCUUGACUUUGGGAUAACUUCAGGAAACUGGGGCUAAUACCGGAUAGGAGCUCCUGCUGCAUGGUGGGGGUUGGAAAGUUUCGGCGGUUGGGGAUGGACUCGCGGCUUAUCAGCUUGUUGGUGGGGUAGUGGCUUACCAAGGCUUUGACGGGUAGCCCGCCUGAGAGGGUGACCGGCCACAUUGGGGCUGAGAUACGGCCCAGACUCCUACGGGAGGCAGCAGUGGGGAAUGUGGCACAAUGGGUGGAAGCCUGAGGCAGCAACGCCGUGUGCGGGAUGACGGCCUUCGGGUUGUAAACCGCUUUCGCUCAUGACGAAGCGUUGUGUGACGGUAGUGGGUAAAGAAGAACCGGCUAACUACGUG
rnacentral:rRNA from 1 species